rnacentral:rRNA from 1 species
UGCCUCAGUAACGGCGUAGUGAAGCGGCAACAGCUCAAAUUUGAAAUCUGGCUCCUUCGUUGGCCCGAGUUGUAAUUUGCAGAGGAUGUGUCGGGUACGGGUUCCCUCCGAGUUCCCUGGAACGGGACGCCAUAGAGGGUGAGAGCCCCGUCUGGUAGGACACCCAGCCCGUGUGACACUCCCUCGACGAGUCGAGUAGUUUGGGAAUGCUGCUCUAACGGGAGGUAUACUCCUUCCAAGGCUAAAUACCGGCUGGAGACCGAUAGCGCACAAGUAGAGUGAUCGAAAGAUGAAAAGUACUUUGAAAAGAGAGUCAAAUAGCACGUGAAAUUGUUAAAAGGGAAGCACUCGCUACCAGACUUGGGUUCAGCGGUUCAACCGGGGCCACGCCCCGGGGCAUUCCGCCGGCCCAGGCCAGCAUCAGCUUUCCGUCGGGGGUAAAGGCGUCGGGAAUGUGGCUCUCCUUCGGGGGAGUGUUAUAGCCCGUCGUGUCAUACCCUUCGGGGGGCUGAGGUACGCGCUUCUGCAAGGAUGCUGGCGUAAUGGUAGCUAGUGACCCGUCUUGAAACACGGACCAAGGAGUCAACCUUAUGUGCGAGUGCCCGGGCGUAAAACCCCAGCGCGGAAUGAAAGUGAACGUAGGUGAGAGCUUCGGCGCAUCACCGACCGAUCCAGAUGUCCUCGGACGGAUUUGAGUGAGAGCAUAUAGGGUUGGACCCGAAAGAAGAUGAACUAUGCGUGUGUAGGGUGAAGCCAGAGGAAACUCU